AUUCUUCUUUUUGGCGAAGGCCUCUGGCCUUAAAGGGUGUUAUUUCGAGCAUAUCGAAAUAGUCACCCGUCGUUGUUCGAUAGAGGUUGAACUCUUCUUUUUUGCGAAGGCCCUUGGCCUUAUAGGGUGUUAUUUCGAACUUAUCAAAAUAGUAACCCAUCUUCAUUCGAUCGAGGUUGAACUCUUCUUUUUGGCGAAGGCCUCUGGCUUUCAAGGGUGUUAUUUCGAACAUAUCGAAAUAGUAACCCGUCGUCGUUCGAUCGAGGUCGAACUCUUCUUUUUGGCGAAGGCCCCUGGCCUUAAAGGGUGUUAUUUCGAACUUAUCAAAAUAGUAACCCGUCGUCGUUCGAUCGAGGUCGAACUCUUCUUUUUGGCGAAGGCCUCUGGCAUUAAAGGGUGUUAUUUCGAACAUAUCGAAAUAGUCACCCGUCGUCGUUCGAUAGAGGUUGAACUUUUCUUUUUUGCGAAGGCCCUUGGCCUUAAAGGGUGUUAUUUCGAACAUAUCGAAAUAGUAAUUCAUCGUCGUUCGAUCGAGGUCGAACUCUUCUUUUUGGCGAAGGCCCUUGGCCUUAAAAUGUGUUAUUUCAAACUUAUCGAAAUAGUAACCCGUCGUCGUUCGAUCGAGGUCGAACUCUUCUUUUUGGCAAAGGCCCCUAGCCUUUAAGGGUGUUAUUUCGAACUUAUCAAAAUAGUAACCCAUCAUCGUUCGAUCGAGGUCGAACUCUUCUUUUUGGUGAAGGCCCCUGGCCUUCAAGGGUGUUAUUUCGAACUUAUCGAAAUAGUAACCUGUCGCCGUUUGAUCGAGGUCGAACUCUUCUUUUUGGCGAAGGCCCCUGGCUUUCAAGGGUGUUAUUUCGAACAUAUCGAAAUAGUAACCCGUCGUCGUUCGAUCGAGGUCGAACUCUUCUUUUUGGCGAAGGCCCCUGGCCUUAAAGGGUGUUAUUUCGAAUUUAUCGAAAUAGUAACCCGUCGUCGUAUGAUCGAGGUCAAACUCUUUUUUUGGCGAAGGCCUCUGGCCUUAAAGGGUGUUAUUUCGAACUAAUCGACAUUGUAACUCGUCGUCGUUCGAUCGAGGUCGAACUCUUCUUUUUGGCGAAGGCCCCUAGCCUUUAAGGGUGUUAUUUCGAACUUAUCAAAAUAGUAACCCAUCAUCGUUCGAUCGAGGUCGAACUCUUCUUUUUGGUGAAGGCCCCUGGCCUUCAAGGGUGUUAUUUUGAACUUAUCGAAAUAGUAACACGUCGUCGUUCGAUCGAGGUCGAACUCUUCUUUUUGGCGAAGGCCCCUGGCCUUAAAGGGUGUUAUUUCGAACUUAUCGAAAUAGUAACCCGUCGUCGUAUGAUCGAGGUCGAACUCCUCUUUUUGGCGAAGGCCUCUGGCCUUAAAGGGUGUUAUUUCGAACUUAUCAAAAUAUUCACCCGUCGUCGUUCGAUAGAGGAUAAACUCUUCUUUUUGGUGAAGUCCCCUAGCCUUUAAGGGUGUUAUUUCGAACUUAUCGAAAUAGUAACCCAUUGUCGUUUGAUCGAGGUCGAACUCUUCUUUUUGGCGAAGGCCCCUGGCCUUAAAGGGUUUUAUUUCGAACUUAUCAAAAUAGUAACCCAUCGUCGUUCGAUCGAGGUCGAACUUUUCUUUUUGGCGAAGGCCCCU
rnacentral:lncRNA from 1 species